rnacentral:rRNA from 1 species
UACGUAGGGCGCAAGCGUUGUCCGGAAUUAUUGGGCGUAAAGAGCUCGUAGGCGGUUUGUCGCGUCUGCUGUGAAAACUCGAGGCUCAACCUCGGGCUUGCAGUGGGUACGGGCAGACUAGAGUGCGGUAGGGGAGACUGGAAUUCCUGGUGUAGCGGUGAAAUGCGUAGAUAUCUGGAGGAACACCGGUGGCGAAGGCGGCAUCCUGGACCGGCAUUGACGCUGAGGCGCGAAAGCCAGGGGAGCAAACGGG